AGUGAACGCUGGCGGUAGGCCUAACACAUGCCAGUCGAACGGCAGCACAGUAAGAGCUUGCUCUUACGGGUGGCGAGUGGCGGACGGGUGAGGAAUACAUCGGAAUCUACUUUUUCGUGGGGGAUAACGUAGGGAAACUUACGCUAAUACCGCAUACGACCUACGGGUGAAAGCAGGGGAUCUUCGGACCCUGCGCGAUUGAAUGAGCCGAUGUCGGAUUAGCUAGUUGGCGGGGUAAAGGCCCACCAAGGCGACGAUCCGUAGCUGGUCUGAGAGGAUGAGCAGCCACACUGGAACUGAGACACGGUCCAGACUCCUACGGGAGGCAGCAGUGGGGAAUAUUGGACAAUGGGCGCAAGCCUGAUCCAGCCAUACCGCGUGGGUGAAGAAGGCCUUCGGGUUGUAAAGCCCUUUUGUUGGGAAAGAAAAGCAGCAGGUUAAUACCCCGCUGUUCUGACGGUACCCAAAGAAUAAGCACCGGCUAACUUCGUG
rnacentral:rRNA from 1 species